GAGAAAACAGUGAGACCUAAAUGUUUGGAUGACAUGAUCUUUUCUCUGUCUGUAAGCCCGCAUUUUUUCUUACAACUUUAGGCUUUGGGUGUAUGCAUGUGAAAAGGGAACCUUAACUCCUGCACUGAGCUCCCUUCUCCAAGAACCAACAUCAUAGAGCCUUGUCAGGUUGAAGACACAGCUCAGUUGUGCUGAAGCCUACGAAACACGUUCUAUAGACUGACUCAGCUUCCCCAGAACCAGUAUAGGAUACAGUCUAGGACCAGGUGCUGCUUCUGAGAAAAAUAACGUCUAUUCUGCAGUUUUGACAAACUGAAUUUUGCGGCAACCCUGCGUCGAGCAAGCCUAUCAGCAGCAUUUUUCCAACAACAUUUGCUCAUUUCAUGUCUGUGUCAUAGUUUUAGUAUUUCUCACAAUAAUUCAAACUUUUUCAUAUCAUUGUAUUUCUGAUGGCCAUCUGUGAUCAGUGAUCUCUGCUGUUACUACUAGAACUCAGUGAAGGCUCAGAUGAUGGUUAGCAUUUUCCAGCAAUAAAAUAUACUUAAUUAAAGUGUGACUAUUGCAUACUUAACACACUACAGUAUAAUGUAAACAUAACUUUUAUAUGCACUGGGAGACCAAAGAAAUUCACGUGACUGACUUUAUUGCGGUAGUCUGGAACUGAACAGGCAGUAUCUCUGCCUGUAAUGCGAUUUACAGUUAGGCUGCUGGGUACGGAAUGGACUCUACAGAGGCCAUGGGGAAAUCAGGGAGGCAGUUAGGACUGCCAUGGUCCAGACAAGAGGACACAGUGGCUUGCACCCGAGAGGUGACACCAGAGGCAGGGAGAAAACUAGCAAUGCAUUUAUGGUUAGAACCUAGCAAAUUCAUGAGAGGAUAGAGGUGGAGGUGAGGUUAAGAGUGGGACUGAAAGAACCUUCCACUUUUGACUAUAGCAACCAUGCUGAUGGUUAUACAAUUUAUGGAGAUGAAGCUUUCAGAGGAGUAAGUGUUCUGUGAAAAAAUAAAGGAUUUUGCUCAAAGACUUGUUAAAAUAUGAAGGGGAAGGAAAUAUUUGUACAGAGAGAGAUCCUCUAAAUGCCACUGCUGACAUGUAUGCAUAUAUUAGGAACCAAAUGUGUAAAUUUGCAAAUUAUGUGAGGGAGUUCUGAGGUAUAUUAAACUGUUGAUUUCUUCAUAAGUGUAAUACAAUUCAUUGUUUCAUGGUAGUGUCCGCAAAUUUCACAUCUCUAAAAAUGAAAGAAUUUGGUUCAUUGUUUCUAAAGCAGUUUUCUACUCAAAUCAAAUGUCACUCUGAUUGCAGGUGUGUAAAUAAUGAUUGAAGCAUGAUCUUAAAAAUAUGUGUGUUGGACAUAUAUACACUACCAAAUGUAAAAUAGAUAGCUAGAGGGAAGCAGCCGCAUAGCACAGGGACAUCAGCUCAGUGCUUU